AUCCUGGCUAGGACGAACGCUGGCGGCGUGCCUAAUACAUGCAAGUCGAACGGUCUUUCUAUGGAAGCUUGCUUCCACUGAGAAGAUAGUGGCGAACGGGUGAGUAACACGUGGGUAACCUGCCCAUAAGAGGGGGAUAACAUCCGGAAACGGGUGCUAAUACCGCAUAGUUUUCUUGAUCGCAUGAUCGGGAAAGGAAAGACGGCCUUUGUGCUGUCGCUUAUGGAUGGACCCGCGGCGUAUUAGUUAGUUGGUGAGGUAACGGCUCACCAAGACGAUGAUACGCAGCCGACCUGAGAGGGUGAUCGGCCACAUUGGGACUGAGACACGGCCCAAACUCCUACGGGAGGCAGCAGUAGGGAAUCUUCCGCAAUGGACGAAAGUCUGACGGAGCAACGCCGCGUGAGUGAAAGAAGGUUUUCGGACCGUAAAACUCUGUUGUCAGAGAAGAACAAGUUGGAGAGUAACUGCUCCAGCCUUGACGGUAUCUGACCAGAAAGCCACGGCUAACUACGUGCCAGCCGCCGC
rnacentral:rRNA from 1 species